UGAGGAACAUGACUUUCGGUGGGGGAGUAGCCGGCCCAACGGCCGGGUAAUACCGCAUACGACCUGUUGGGGACAUCCCCGAUUGGUGAAAGCAGCAAUGCACCGAAAGAGUGCCUCGCGGCCUAUCAGCUAGUUGGUGGGGUAACGGCUCACCAAGGCGACGACGGGUAGCUGGUCUGAGAGGAUGGCCAGCCACAGUUGGGACUGAGACACGGCCCAGGCCUCCCGUACGGGGAGGNACGCG
rnacentral:rRNA from 1 species